rnacentral:tRNA from 1 species
UGAGUGUCUAGCUUAAUGGUAAAGCAGUAAACUUUUAAUUUAAUUAGUUUAGGUUCAAAUCCUAAGACACUUAA